AUUGAACGCUGGCGGCAGGCCUAACACAUGCAAGUCGAGCGGAUGAAGGGAGCUUGCUCCUGGAUUCAGCGGCGGACGGGUGAGUAAUGCCUAGGAAUCUGCCUUGUAGUGGGGGAUAACGUCCGGAAACGGGCGCUAAUACCGCAUACGUCCUGAGGGAGAAAGUGGGGGAUCUUCGGACCUCACGCUAUCAGAUGAGCCUAGGUCGGAUUAGCUAGUUGGUGGGGUAAAGGCCUACCAAGGCGACGAUCCGUAACUGGUCUGAGAGGAUGAUCAGUCACACUGGAACUGAGACACGGUACAGACUCCUACGGGAGGAAGCAGUGGGGAAUAUUGGACAAUGGGCGAAAGCCUGAUCCAGCCAUGCCGCGUGUGUGAAGAAGGUCUUCGGAUUGUAAAGCACUUUAAGUUGGGAGGAAGGGCAGUAAGUUAAUACCUUGCUGUUUUGACGUUACCAACAGAAUAAGCACCGGCUAACUUCGUG
rnacentral:rRNA from 1 species